AUCCCUUAUUAUACAUGAGUGAUACUAUGAGACUAAGAGAAAUGGAAACUCUUCAUGUUUAUUUAUGAGAUUAAUGAAAUACAAUAUUCCAAUAUCAACAAAGAUUUGUGGUACAACUUUCUGCAGAAUCAGCAUUCUGAGGAACUCAAACAGUCGAGCUCAGCGCGGUCCAGUAGGAACCUCAGGAACAGGGGAUUCGGGAACUUGAGAUCCGUAUCAGACGGUUCCGGAUCAGCGGAUUCAGAGAUGGAAAGAUCAAGAACAUGAACCAGAGUGAACCCCCUGACUAUCUAUUCUCAGAAUCAGCAUUCUGAGGAACUCAAACAGUCGAGCUCAGCGCGGUCCAGUAGGAACCUCAGGAACAGGGGAUUCGGGAACUUGAG